GGGAGGAGGUUGGAGCAGCGCGAUGGGGGACUCCAAAGUGAAGGUGGCGGUGCGCGUCCGCCCCACGAACCGGCGAGCGGCCGAGAGUCAUGAAUGCCUCACAACUGGUGACUGCAGAGCUAGAAAAUGGAAUGACAACAGCUCAGCAGCCGCUUUAGAGACAGCCAGCGUGGCUUCGCCGAGGGCAAAUCGUGCCCGACUAAUCCAGCGGCCUUCCAUGAUGGAGUGACGGCAUUAGAGGACGAGGAAGAGCUACGGAUGUCACCUGCCUGGAGGACGUCAGUGAGGCACGGACAGGUUCUGGAUAAAUGGCUUUUAAUGGAAAAACUGAGAACAAAA